rnacentral:lncRNA from 1 species
UUUUUUUUGUAUUUAACUCAGGGACACUAUUUAACACACUGAGCCACAUCCCCAGCCCUAUUUUGUAUUUUAUUUAGAGACAGGGUCUCACUGAGUUGCUUAAUGCCUCAGUUUUUCUGAGGCUGUCUUUGAAAUUGCGAUCCUCCUGCCUCAGCCAUCCGAGCUGCUGGGAUUACAAGUGGGCACCACCACGCCCAGUGCCUGUGAUCUUUUGUGUCUGGCUUUAUUCAUUCUUCAUAUUGUGUGUGAUAUUUACAUUAUUCUGAGAGAGGUGGGGAAAAAACCAAAAGUGUAUUUUUCCUGCUCUCAUGUUCAACACAGCAUCUAUGAGCACCAAGUUAUGUGGGGAUUUCUCCCAACCAAUAUUUAAUCAAUUUUGUAUCAGAUUUUGUAGUAGACACCAGCCAGGUGUUUGCUAUUUCUUUUCAAUUCUCACACUGUUUACUUGAUAUAGCAUUAGAUCCCACUGGUUGGUGGCUCAGGCCCAACUGUCUACACCCUCCUCACUUCAGAUGCCAAUUGUAAACGCAGGUCACACCAACGAAAUAUAAAUUGGGGUUUCAAUAACCUUCCUUAUGUUUGAAUAAUUUUCUGGAGCAAUUCACAGAACACUGAGAAACAAUUCACUGAUGUUUACCAAUUCAUUGUAAAGGACAUUUCAAAGGUUACGGGAGAACAGCCAAAUUGAUGAGAUGCACAGAACAAGGCAUAUGGAAAGGGGCACAGUAUUUCCAUACCCUACCCAGAUGGACCAGCUUCCAGAAACUUUCAUGUAUUUUGCAACCAAGAAGCCCAUCAGAACUCUGUUGUGAUCUGGGGAUAUUUGGAAGACAUCAUUGCAUAGGCAUGACUGAGUAUAUUAUUGUCUAUUGAUGAUCGACUUAACUUUUGGCGCUUUUCCCCUGCACAAGGGUUGGGGGAGGGGCUAAAAUUCCUAACCCUUCUAAUCAUGCUUUGUUCUUUCUGGAUGACUAGCUGCUCUAGUUUGGAUCUUAAAUGCCAACCAAAUGCCCGUAUGUUGAAGUCUUUGUCUUUAGAGUGGCACUACUGUGAGGUGGUAGGCCCUAGAGGAGGUGGAGUCUUGUGGUCCUUAGGUCAAUGGGGCAUGCUUUUGAAAGGGAUUGUAGGACCACAGACUCUUCUUCUUUCUCUUUUCUCUCUGGCUUAUGAUGUAAGCAGUUUUAUCCUGUCACAGGUUCCCACCAUAAUGUGUUGCCUUACCACAGGACCAAGGCCAUCAACUGGAUCCUUGAAAACUGUGAGUCAAAUAAACCAUUUUUCCUUAAAAGUUAAUUAUCUCAGAUUUUUUGUUAUAAUGAUAGAAAGCUGACUACCUGAAGCCAUCUAUGGGCUCUCAGCCACCAAUCAUAUCAUUAGCACACAAAAGAAUUAUUUCUCAAGAUUUCAAGAGAUUUGGGAGCUUUUUGUUAGGAUUUGGGUGUUCUUCAACUUUUGACUUGUUAUGAAUUUUGGUCCUGUGGACAUUCUUGUUUGUAUUGAUUGGUUUCAGGAAUCACUAAGCCCAAAAUAAUGCUCAUUGUCAAACAGCUUAUUUUAACCUGAAGGAAUGUGAGAAAAUGAUAGAAGCAGA